rnacentral:lncRNA from 1 species
UAUCCUUAUGUCCGGUCUCCCAAAGAGCGCCUGAGUCUGUUUCUCGAUCAGAGACAUGGCUUCUUUAGACCGUAUCGUGGCGUAUCUCUGUAGCGUAUCUGAGUCCAGGUACGUAACGUAUGAUCUCAAUCCAUAAGAAGACGACUCGUUUUCAUCUCUUUCUAUUGCGUAGCCAUCUGGAUCAUAUUCCUCUGGUUGGAUACGGAUCAGUGAAUCCGGAUCCCAUAAAGGGUAAGGAGGCGAGGGUUCUUCGUAUCGUUCUCUGGUUUUCUCAGGCCGUUUCGGGAGUGUGUUCAUGGUUCUCUCAAGUUGGUAUCUUUGGUCUAUUCUUCUGAGGAAAUAGCCA